rnacentral:rRNA from 1 species
UACGUAGGGUGCAAGCGUUGUCCGGAAUUAUUGGGCGUAAAGAGCUCGUAGGCGGUCUGUCGCGUCGGCUGUGAAAACCUGGGGCUCAACCCCAGGCCUGCAGUCGAUACGGGCAGACUAGAGUCCGGCAGGGGAGACUGGAAUUCCUGGUGUAGCGGUGAAAUGCGCAGAUAUCAGGAGGAACACCAGUGGCGAAGGCGAGUCCCUAGACAACACCUGACACUGAGGCACGAAAGCUAGGGGAGCAAACAGG